UUACUUACAUAACACGGAAGAUACAAGGAACACAAAAGUGGUUUUCCCAGAUUAAAACUCAUUGAUAGCACAUGGGCUGUGCUGAGUCUUGGAGUUUCCCCAAAUUUAGAAAUGUCUACUGUGUAAUUUGUGGUAGUAGGGACUGCAUUUGCACUUUACCCUA